rnacentral:rRNA from 1 species
CGCACGGGUGAGUAACACGUAGGUAAUGUACCUUUGGGUGGGGAAUAACUUAGGGAAACUUAAGCUAAUACCGCAUAAUGCAGCGGCUUCUUCGGAAGACAGUUGUUAAAGAUUUAUCGCCUAAAGAGCAGCCUGCGGCAGAUUAGCUAGUUGGUAAGGUAACGGCUUACCAAGGCUACGAUCUGUAUCCGACCUGAGAGGGUAGUCGGACACACUGACACUGAAUAACGGGUCAG